rfam:Schistosoma haematobium scaffold163_94, whole genome shotgun sequence.
GCACUGCUGAGGAGUCGCAUGCCAGGACGAAACGGCCGUCCAGUGC